GAUCCUGGCUCAGGAUGAACGCUAGCGACAGGCCUAACACAUGCAAGUCGAGGGGCAGCGGAGAGGUAGCAAUACCUUUGCCGGCGACCGGCGCACGGGUGAGUAACACGUAUGCAAUCCACCUGUAACAGGGGGAUAACCCGGAGAAAUCCGGACUAAUACCCCAUAAUAUGGGCGCUCCGCAUGGAGAGUCCAUUAAAGAGAGCAAUCUUGGUUACAGACGAGCAUGCGCUUCA
rnacentral:rRNA from 1 species